GGGGUCCACUGACGCGCACACUCUUUCCAGUUUCGCUCUUUGCAUUGUAGAGGGGGCCCUCCGGGAAACGGAGGGAAAUGGGCUGCGCCGGCCGAGGAGGUAGUGCAAGACCAAGGCGACGCGCGCUGGCCCGGGCAGCAAGCUGCCGGAUGGGCCCGCACCCGAGAUAAAUUAGAUUAAUAUCGUGAGGCUCGAUGAGCCUCGUAUCAGAUAUUAAACUGAUAAGAACAGAUACUACACUUGAUCUUAGCCAAAAGGCCGAGAAAGGUAUGCCUCUUCCCUCCCGCCCCGCCCUCCUUCUACCCCCACCUCCGCCCUCCCUCCUGCACACGCUAUGGGGCAUUCACCACCCACCCACUGCCACUUCAACAUAUCAACAUACUCGCCACACCACCAAAUCAAAGUCCCCGCCCUCCAAAUCAUCAUCGCCCCCAGGCUCUCUUGCAUUUUGCAACCACACAACACCAAAACAACCAUGCUGAAUACCGUGGUUUUCUUGGUUUGAAGACUGGAAAGGGUGGGGGCUCCACCGGUGCUACUACUCAUGGUCAAACAAAAUACCCCAAAAUAUGGGAAAGCGUGGCAUGUAGUUACCUAGGGUAUAUUCAUGUGAGUGUCUUUAUUUACAUAUUUUUUUACUUAUUUAUUUCAUUUUCGAUGGACGGAUGGACGGACGGACGGACGGACGGAUGGAUGGAUGGAUGGAUGGAUGGAUGGAUGGAUGGAUUGAUUGAUUGAUUGAUUGGUUGGUUGAUGCGUGCGUGCGUGUUUGGUUGGUUGGUUGGUUUAUUCUUUCUUCUUUCUUCUUCUUCUUCUUCUGCCUGUUCUUCUUCCAGUGAGCCAGUGAGUGUUGUAUGAUGUUGGUGAUGGUGCGGGUAUGGGGUUUGUGGGGGACAGGGAGCAAUGGGGUGGGUUUGAGGCGAGAUGUUGGUUGUAGCAGGGAGGGAGAGGGAGUGAGAAAUGGAGGUGGAGGCGUGGUGAGGGGGCGGGGGGAGAGCAGGAGAGCGAGGGUGGGUGAGAAUGUCCCACACGGGUUGGAGCGGCGGGGUGUGGGUGGGUGGUAGAAGCGUGCGGAGGAGCGAUGGGGAGGGCACUUACCUGGGCGGGGUCGAUCCAUGAUCAGGAAGGUGGAUGGCCUAGAGGAGCCCGGCCCAUUGCACUGACGGGGCGGGCGGCUCUAGUAUCUCUCUACGGAGGGCAUACACGUCGUAAUUUGUGGCAGUGGGGGCUCGCGUUCGCGCGGCCCCCGCCCAAAGCGUAAGCCGAAACCGGAGGAGACUAGGUGUGUGGGUGUGUUUCAAAGUUGUGAGUGUCCGAGAAAACCCCCGCAUUCUGCGAUGGCCGCCGCAUACACUCGCUCCUAUGAUUGACAAAGCGAGUGAGCGCAACAACGAACCGCGCGUGCGCCGCCGUCCCGAUCGAUGGUCCAGCGAACACUCGGGGCACAGCUGCUGUGGCAGUGAGCGUUGCUCCGCCGCCCUCCCCGAUCGAUGGUCCAGUGAACACUCGGGGCAGCUGCUGUGGGCAGUGAGCGUUGCUCCCGCGCGGGGUAAGAAGGGCGAUUCCACGCCCGAGUCGGAUCGGGUCACAACCUCCUCCCUCCGAGGCGCGAGCUGUGAGGGAGGAGGGGCGAUGGGCGUUGGAUUUUGCGAGGCGCACGUCUGACCCCGAUCUCUCUGACUGUGCCGAUGAGAGCGCAAAUGGGAUGAGGUUACGGCCUAGCGCACAGGCUGGUGGUGCAGCGAAGGGGAAGCACGCGAUGGCGGGUGAGGGGCGUGCCAAUGGCAGUUGCGCUGCACGGUGUGUCGCCUCCGGCAGCGGCGCCUGGUGACGAUUUAGUGGUGGGUCGGGGGCAGAUUGCCCCAUAGCGAUGGGAGGAGACGAGCCCCCGGGGGAGGUACAUGCGGGGGGAGGCGGGGAGGGAGACGACAUCUUUGCGCUUGGGGCAAUGACGCAGUUAGUGAGGCAAACCCGAGACGCGUCAAUUGCUGGUUGAAAACUAUUUCCAACCCCCCUGCGGUGCCCGCGAGGGCGCCCCAGAAUUUCUGGAAGGUCUGGCGUAGGCCGGGACCUCACAAAGCACAAACCCCAAACAGGAUGGCUCGGAGUGUGCGCAGCCCUGUGUCGCUCUCCCCUCGGAUCUGUGGUUUGCGUCGGCAGCGGCGGCGGGACCGUGGCCCCGCGCACUGCCGGGGAGUGCAGGUGGCACACAGCUCGGUGACGAGCCAAGUAGACGACGCCGUGAGCGCGCAGCCGUGUGGGUGGAACCGAGCGUGGGCCUGUGGUGCGUGGUCCGGGUGUGCUGCCGCCGGCGGACGCGGCGUUUGUAGUCCAACGGUUAGGAUAAUUGCCUUCCAAGCAAUGGACCCGGGUUCGACUCCCGGCAAACGCACGCACGCGCGCCCCUUUUCUCGCGGCAUGCCAUGCCCACGGAUGAUGUGUGGCCCGUCGCCAGCCCCUCCGCGGACCGCGAGUCGCCGCUUCUCUCCCACUCUCGGGUGUGGCAGGAGGCACACUUCUCCAACCCACACCCACGGAGGCCCUGCCCUUGUGCCCUUGUUCUCCGUGCUACCCAUACAAUCCGACUUCGUGCUUCCAAUUGGUGGGCCCCGCAAACGGGGCAGUCCAAAAACUCUGGCUAUGCCGGUCGUUGCGCCCAGCGCACGGUAUUCUUUAGUAAAAGGCGAAAGAAUAGUUCGCUCUGUGCUGAGCGCCCGGCCCCAUAUCUCCCCCGCCCAAACAUCCACGCUCUUCUACGCAUGCCCUGCCCCUUCUUCCACCCAAGCGUAUGGGACCGACGCGUGCCCUGCCCUUCCUCCGCCCACUAACCCGACGUGCAAUCUGUAUCCCUCUCAACUUCCCACCACCGCUGUAUGUUGAUGUUGGAGUCAACCAUGGGUGUUCCUGGCACAAAACCAUCCCAUCUCCCUCAGAUCCACUCAAAUCCAUGGAUCAAUGGAUGAACACAAUUCUAAGAAACGGGCAAGUGAAGAGAGAAAGGGAAAUCUUGAAAUUUGAAGCUGUGUUCUUUCAAACAAACAGGAAAUCAUCGUCAUCGUCAUCAUCAUCACCACCAUGAAAACGACAACAGGCUAUGAGAAUGAGAAUGAGAAGGAAAAAACAAAACAAAAACACGAUAAAACAAAUCAAUCAACCAAUAACAAGCAUGCACUGGUACAUAAAAAUAAGCACAGUGACAUCUGUGAUAAAGAACGAGAACGCGUAUUUCAAGAAAAAACACAAAAAAAAAAAAAAAAAAAAAAAAAAACACAAUAAUAACGACAUCAACAAUAAACAAAAUAACAAAAUCAAGUUUUCAUAGAUAAGAAAUGAAAACUGCAAUGCCGAAAAAUAAAGCUAAAUAAAUAAACAAACAAACAUACGCCACAAACCACAAAACAAAUUCCACCAAUACUCAAGAACACAGUUUUUCAGACAAUUAUGUAACAAUACCCCAAAAUUAAUAACAAACACACAGAAAAACACGAAAACAAAUCGAAAUACCAAAAUGUAACCAAACUUGGUUAGAUUCAUUUUUCUCGACAUUUUGUGUUUAUUGUUAUUCAUUCCUUUAUUUGCUUCCCCUUGCUGCUGCUGCUUCUUCUUCUUCGUCUCCGUCUGUGUUUUGUUUUGUUUUGUUUUGUUUGUUAGUUCAUUCAUUCAUUACGUCAUGCUUGCAUGACGUGUGUUUGUAGAGCCCGGGCACGGCGUUAGUUGGGAUCCACCUCGUAACUGAACAGCGUCCAGGGGUGUGGGAUGGGCUGGCGUGGGUUAGCGGGGGAAAUACAAAAAAGCGACGGGACGACGGGACCGCGUGUGGCUGACAAGGUGGCCCCCGCGGGGUGGGGAGGCGGCGUCCAACUCAAAAUCGAGCGUCACCAGCGCCAGCACAGGCGGGCCGUGGCAAGGCUGGUUGGCUCUUCCACCCAUCCCCACAGUCGACGUUCGGGGUCCACUGACGCGCACACUCUUUCCAGUUUCGCUCUUUGCAUUGUAGAGGGGGCCCUCCGGGAAACGGAGGGAAAUGGGCUGCGCCGGCCGAGGAGGUAGUGCAAGACCAAGGCGACGCGCGCUGGCCCGGGCAGCAAGCUGCCGGAUGGGCCCGCACCCGAGAUAAAUUAGAUUAAUAUCGUGAGGCUCGAUGAGCCUCGUAUCAGAUAUUAAACUGAUAAGAACAGAUACUACACUUGAUCUU
rnacentral:lncRNA from 1 species